GACGUAGGGUGCGAGCGUUGUUCGGAGUUACUGGGCGUAAAGGGUGUGUAGGCGGUUGUUUUAAGUUUGGUGUGAAAAUCUCCCCGGCUCAACCGGGGAGGGGUGCGCCGAAUACUGAAAUGACUAGAGUGCGGGGAGAGGAAGGUGGAAAUUCCUGGUGUAGCGGUGAAAAUGCGUAGAUAUCAGGAGGAACACCGGUGGUGUAGACGGCUUUCUGGACCGUAACUGACGCUGAGACACGAAAAGCGUGGGUAGCAAAACAGG
rnacentral:rRNA from 1 species